rnacentral:rRNA from 1 species
GACGAACGCUGGCGGCGUGCUUAACACAUGCAAGUCGAGCGAUGAAGUUCCUUCGGGAACGGAUUAGCGGCGGACGGGUGAGUAACACGUGGGUAACCUGCCUCAUAGAGGGGAAUAGCCUUUCGAAAGGAAGAUUAAUACCGCAUAAGAUUGUAGUCUCGCAUGAUACAGCAAUUAAAGGAGUAAUGCGCUAUGAGAUGGACCCGCGUCGCAUUAGCUAGUUGGUGAGGUAACGGCUCACCAAGGCGACGAUGCGUAGCCGACCUGAGAGGGUGAUCGGCCACAUUGGGACUAAGACACGGCCCAGACUCCUACGGGAGGCAGCAGUGGGGAAUAUUGCACAAUGGGGGAAACCCUGAUGCAGCAACGCCGCGUGAGUGAUGACGGUCUUCGGAUUGUAAAGCUCUGUCUUCAGGGACGAUAAUGACGGUACCUGAGGAGGAAGCCACGGCUAACUACGUGCCAGCAGCCGCAGUAA